GGCAGUUAGCUGGGUUGGAAAGAUUUCAUCUCUCCUUCUAUGCAAAGAACAGAAUUGUUACUUAGCUGAGUGAUCAUAUGUAGGAAUCACCAGAGUUGGUUGGCUCUCUCAGUGGGGUUUAAAGUACAGUGUAAAUAGGGUAAACUCUUCAUUGUGGCAUCUAUAAAGCCAUUUACAUUCAGACAGCAAGUGAAGCAAAGCAAAUAAACUCUACUCUGGCUGGGAAUAAUUCUGCCCUGAUGAGGAAUCAGCUGGCUGGAGGAAUUUUGGAAGGGGUGAGGCAUACACUUUCUUCUAUGUUCCUGAAACCACAACAUUGUUAGGACUCAUCUGUUCAUGAGACCAGACCAAUAGAAAAUGAGCACUUCGUGGAUAAAAAAUACAGAUGGAAACUUAGUGAAAUGUGACCUCCAGUGCUGGAGAUGGACCUAAUGGGAAGUGUUUGAGUCAUGAGAGAAUAUCCUUUAUGAAUGGCUUGGUGCCUUCCCUGUGGCCAUGAGUUACUACAAGAUCUGAUUGUUAAAAAAAGAUUCUAGGACUUCCUGUCCCUCUGUCUUACUCCUCUUUUACCAUGUGACAUGCCUGCUUCCCCUUCACCUUCUGUCAUGAUUGUAAGCUUCCUGAGGUUCCCAUCAGAAGCAGAGUAGUUGCUGGUGUCAUGCUUGUACAGCCCAUGGAGCUGUGAACCAAAUAAACUUCUUUUCUUUAUAAAUUACCUAGCCUCAGGUAUUCCUUUAUAGGAUGUAAAACAGACUGUUUUGUGUAUUGUUUGCUACAAAAUAACUGUAUAUCAAACUACCUCAUAUCUCAGAGGUUUAAAAAUCAUUUUAUUGUUACCCACUUUGUGGGUCUGGUAAUGUUUGUCUGGAUAAUUCGUAUGAUUUACCUGUGUCGUUUCCAAAAGACUUCAUUUUCAAGAUGUCAUCCUAAUUCACAUAUUUGUCACUUUGGUGAGACCUCUUCACGUGGCCUCAACUUCUUACAGCAUGGCAGCCUAAGGGUAGCUGACCUUCUUAUAUAGUGACUCAGAGCUCCAUGCAACUAAGAAAAAGGCUGGUAGUUGUUUUAAAGCCUGGCCUCAGAACCAGAAUGGCAUGAUUUCCUUCAUACUUUAUUGGUCAAACCAGUCAUAGGCCAGCCCAGAUUCAACAAGAAGGAAGUAGAGUCCAUCUCUCUAUAGGAAGAGUAUCAAUUUGCAACCAUCUUUAGUCUGUCUUGUUCCAUUCAGAGAAUUAGUCUCAGUAUCUUGGCAAAAUAGUAGAAUAAUAACAACAGCUAACUUUCAUUGAG
rnacentral:lncRNA from 10 species